UCAAGGCCCGAACGGAUGAUCGCAAACCCGUAAAGCACCUGUAGGGAGCGGUAAAGAGGUCGGCAACCACCGUCGCCCGUAUCUGCCUCUUUGGGUGCCCCUGCUACCACUGCCGCCCUCUACAUCGUGCAUGGCAAGUGGCAUGAACAAAUUUUUAGCAUGGCGUAUGCCAAGAAGCAGCCUUAUUUAGAGAGCAGAGCGUGCGACAAGCUUAUAGCGCUGCAGUACACGACGUGAUCUUGGUACGUCUAACCUGCAUGACUCUCGACAAUGGAUAUCUUGGCUCUCGCAUCGAUGAAGAACGUAGCAAAAUGCGAUACUUGGUGUGAAUUAUAGAAUCCCAUGAACCAUCAAGUCUUUGAACGCAAGUUACGCCCGAGGCUAUCUGGCCAAGGGCACGCCUGCCUGGGCGUCACACCUACCGAUGCUCCAUACCCCUCCCCCUACCCAGUGCAGUUCGGCAGCAAGCACAGAUGCAGAGAUUAGCCCUCUACGCAUUACUACGUAGUAGGUUGAAGUACGGGCCACCGGUUGGGCCGGACGCAGCAAGUGGUGGAUUGACACGCACGUCGCUGCCGAAGUGACCCUGCUUGAGCAGUGCACCGGAGGAACCCAUGCCGAUGGGUGCCAUGUAAGCGCUCCUUGGAACCCAACCCUAGGUUAGGCAUG
rnacentral:rRNA from 1 species